rnacentral:pre_miRNA from 1 species
AAGCUACUCCUUCUGUUACAUAAUUUUUGUCUCAAAUUUGUUCAAAAAUGGAUGUAUCUAUUUCUAAAAACGUCUAGAUACAUGUAAUAUUUUGACAAGAAUUAUGAAACAGAGGGAGUAGACU